GACGACCGAGGAACUCGAUUGUGCUAUCUGGCCAGUAGCAGCCGAGAUCGCCGGUGCGAUACCAGCGCUCGUCC
rnacentral:tRNA from 1 species